GACGAACGCUGGCGGCGUGCUUAACACAUGCAAGUCGAACGGUGAACCUGCUUCGGUGGGGAUCAGUGGCGAACGGGUGAGUAACACGUGGGCAACCUGCCUCCGGCUCUGGGAUAACUCCAAGAAAUUGGGGCUAAUACCGGAUAUGACUGCUGACCGCAUGGUCUGGUGGUGGAAAGAUUUUAUCGGCUGGGGAUGGGCCCGCGGCCUAUCAGCUUGUUGGUGGGGUAGGGCCUACCAAGGCGACGACGGGUAGCCGGCCUGAGAGGGUGACCGGCCACACUGGGACUGAGACACGGCCCAGACUCCUACGGGAGGCAGCAGUGGGGAAUAUUGCGCAAUGGGCGAAAGCCUGACGCAGCGACGCCGCGUGGGGAUGACGGCCU
rnacentral:rRNA from 1 species